ACGUAGGGGGCGAGCGUUGUCCGGAGUUACUGGGCGUAAAGGGCGUGUAGGCGGUUGGAUAAGUCUGGUGUGAAAUUCUCUGGCUUAACCAGGGAGCUGCGCUGGAAACUGUCUGACUGGAGUUCGGUAGGGGUCACUGGAAUCCCCGGUGUAACGGUGAAAUGUGUAGAUAUCGGGGGGAACACCUGUGGCGAAGGCGGGUGACUGGGCCGCAACUGACGCUGAGACGCGAAAGCGUGGGGAGCAAACAG
rnacentral:rRNA from 1 species